AGGGGAGUAGCUCAAUUGGCUAGAGUAGCGGUCUCCAAAACCGUUGGUUGCGGGUUCGAUUCCUGCCUCCCCUGCCA
rnacentral:tRNA from 1 species